ACGAACGCUGGCGGCAUGCCUCACCCCUGCAAGUCGCACGAGACCUUCGGGUCUAGUGGCGCACGGGUGCGUAACGCGUGGGAACCUGCCCUUAGGUUCGGAAUAACUCCCCGAAAGGGGUGCUAAUACCGGAUAAUGUCUUCGGACCAAAGAUUUAUCGCCUUUGGAUGGGCCCGCGUUGGAUUAGCUAGUUGGUAGGGUAAAAGCCUACCAAGGCGACGAUCCAUAGCUGGUCUGAGAGGAUGAUCAGCCACACUGGGACUGAGACACGGCCCAGACUCCUACGGGAGGCAGCAGUGGGGAAUAUUGGACAAUGGGCGAAAGCCUGAUCCAGCAAUGCCGCGUGAGUGAUGAAGGCCUUAGGGUUGUAAAGCUCUUUUACCCGGGAUGAUAAUGACAGUACCGGGAGAAUAAGCGCCGGCUAACUCCGUG
rnacentral:rRNA from 1 species